GACGAACGCUGGCGGCGUGCCUAACACAUGCAAGUCGAACGGAGUUGUUUCUUCGGAAAUAACUUAGUGGCGAACGGGUGAGUAACGCGUGAGGAACCUACCUUUCAGUGGGGGACAACAGUUGGAAACGACUGCUAAUACCGCAUAACACAUUCGAGGGGCAUCCCUUGAAUGUCAAAGAUUUAUUGCUGAAAGAUGGCCUCGCGUCUGAUUAGCUAGUUGGUGAGAUAACAGCCCACCAAGCCGACGAUCGGUAGCCGGACUGAGAGGUUGAUCGGCCACAUUGGGACUGAGACACGGCCCAG
rnacentral:rRNA from 1 species